rnacentral:rRNA from 1 species
GACGAACGCUGGCGGCGUGCUUAACACAUGCAAGUCGAACGGAAAGGCCCUGCUUUUGUGGGGUGCUCGAGUGGCGAACGGGUGAGUAACACGUGAGUAACCUGCCCUUGACUUUGGGAUAACUUCAGGAAACUGGGGCUAAUACCGGAUAGGAGCUCCUGCCGCAUGGUGGGGGUUGGAAAGUUUCGGCGGUUGGGGAUGGACUCGCGGCUUAUCAGCUUGUUGGUGGGGUAGUGGCUUACCAAGGCUUUGACGGGUAGCCGGCCUGAGAGGGUGACCGGCUACAUUGGGACUGAGAUACGGCCCAGACUCCUACGGGAGGCAGCAGUGGGGAAUAUUGCACAAUGGGCGGAAGCCUGAUGCAGCAACGCCGCGUGCGGGAUGACGGCCUUCGGGUUGUAAACCGCUUUCGCCUGUGACGAAGCGUGAGUGACGGUAAUGGGUAAAGAAGCACCGGCUAACUACGUG